CCUACGGGAGGCAGCAGUGGGGGAUAUUGCACAAUGGGGGGAACCCUGAUGCAGCGACGCCGCGUGGGUGAAGGAGUGCUUCGGCAUGUAAAGCCCUAUCGGCAGGGAAGAAGCAAGACGGUACCUGACUAAGAAGCCCCGGCUAACUACGUGCCAGCAGCCGCGGUAAUACGUAGGGGGCGCGCGUUAUCCGGAUUCACUGGGUGUAAAGGGAGUGUAGACGGCUGGUCAAGUCUGAAGUGAAAGCCCGGGGCUUAACCCCGGAACGGCUUUGGAAACUGAGCAGCUAGAGUGCUGGAGAGGUAAGCGGAAUUCCUAGUGUAGCGGUGAAAUGCGUAGAUAUUAGGAGGAACACCAGUGGCGAAGGCGGCUUACUGGACAGUAACUGACGUUGAGGCUCGAAAGCGUGGGGAGCAAACAGGAUUAGAUACCCGAGUAGUC
rnacentral:rRNA from 1 species